GUUUUAAUAAUUUAAAUAAAAAUAAUGAUUUUGUAAAUCGUAAUUAAGUAAUAACUUUUAAAACU
rnacentral:tRNA from 1 species